GACCUCGUGGCGCAAGGGCAGCGCAUCUGACUCCAGAUCAGAAGGUUGUGUGUUCAAAUCACACCGGGGUCA
rfam:Columba livia unplaced genomic scaffold scaffold786, whole genome shotgun sequence.